rnacentral:rRNA from 1 species
UACGAAGGGGGCUAGCGUUGCUCGGAAUCACUGGGCGUAAAGGGCGCGUAGGCGGUUUGGACAGUCAGAUGUGAAAUUCCUGGGCUCAACCUGGGGGCUGCAUUUGAUACGUUCGGACUAGAGUGGGGAAGAGGGUCGUGGAAUUCCCAGUGUAGAGGUGAAAUUCGUAGAUAUUGGGAAGAACACCGGUGGCGAAGGCGGCGACCUGGUCCUUGACUGACGCUGAGGCGCGAAAGCGUGGGGAGCAAACAGG